rnacentral:rRNA from 1 species
GAUGAACGCUGGCGGCGUGCCUAAUACAUGCAAGUCGAGCGAACAGACGAGGAGCUUGCUCCUUUGACGUUAGCGGCGGACGGGUGAGUAACACGUGGGUAACCUACCUAUAAGACUGGGAUAACUUCGGGAAACCGGAGCUAAUACCGGAUAAUAUUUCGAACCGCAUGGUUCGAUAGUGAAAGAUGGCUCUGCUAUCGCUUAUAGAUGGACCUGCGCCGUAUUAGCUAGUUGGUAAGGUAACGGCUUACCAAGGCAACGAUACGUAGCCGACCUGAGAGGGUGAUCGGCCACACUGGAACUGAGACACGGUCCAGACUCCUACGGGAGGCAGCAGUAGGGAAUCUUCCGCAAUGGGCGAAAGCCUGACGGAGCAACGCCGCGUGAGUGAUGAAGGUCUUCGGAUCGUAAAACUCUGUUAUUAGGGAAGAACAAACGUGUAAGUAACUGUGCACGUCUUGACGGUACCUAAUCAGAAAGCCACGGCUAACUACGUG